rnacentral:tRNA from 1 species
GAUAAAGAGAGGAAUUAACCCCUAUGAAUAGGACUACAGCCUACCACCUAAAGUCGGCCACUUUACC